UACGGGAGGCAGCAGUAGGGAAUAUUGGACAAUGGGCGAAAGCCUGAUCCAGCAAUGCCGCGUGUGUGAAGAAGGCCUGAGGGUUGUAAAGCACUUUCAGUUGGGAAGAAAAGCUUUAGGAUAAUACUCUAAAGUCUUGACGUUACCAACAGAAGAAGCACCGGCUAACUCUGUGCCAGCAGCCGCGGUAAUACAGAGGGUGCGAGCGUUAAUCGGAAUUACUGGGCGUAAAGCGUGCGUAGGCGGUUAAGUCAGUCGGAUGUGAAAGCCCAAGGCUUAACCUUGGAACUGCAUUCGAUACUGCUUAGCUAGAGUACAGUAGAGGGAAGCGGAAUUCCUAGUGUAGCGGUGAAAUGCGUAGAUAUUAGGAAGAACACCAGUGGCGAAGGCGGCUUCCUGGACUGAUACUGACGCUGAUGUACGAAAGCGUGGGGAGCAAACAGGAUUAGAUACCCUGGUAGUCCACGCCCUAAACGAUGAGAACUAGAUGUUGGGGGAAAUUAAUCCCUUAGUAUCGCAGCUAACGCGAUAAGUUCUCCGCCUGGGGAGUACGACCGCAAGGUUAAAACUCAAAUGAAUUGACGGGGGCCCGCACAAGCGGUGGAGCAUGUGGUUUAAUU
rnacentral:rRNA from 1 species